rnacentral:rRNA from 1 species
GUAGUCCACGCCCUAAACGAUGUCAACUGGUUGUUGGAAGAGUGAUCUUUCAGUAACGAAGCUAACGCGAGAAGUUGACCGCCUGGGGAGUACGGCCGCAAGGUUAAAACUCAAAGAAAUUGACGGGGACCCGCACAAGCGGUGGAUGAUGUGGAUUAAUUCGAUGCAACGCGAAAAACCUUACCUACCCUUGACAUGUACGGAAUCCUGCAGAGAUGUGGGAGUGCUCGAAAGAGAGCCGUAACACAGGUGCUGCAUGGCUGUCGUCAGCUCGUGUCGUGAGAUGUUGGGUUAAGUCCCGCAACGAGCGCAACCCUUGUCAUUAGUUGCCAUCAUUUAGUUGGGCACUCUAAUGAGACUGCCGGGGACAACUCGGA